UACGUAGGGGGCAAGCGUUAUCCGGAAUUACUGGGUGUAAAGGGUGAGUAGGCGGCAUGGCAAGUAAGAUGUGAAAGCCCGAGGCUUAACCUCGGGAUUGCAUUUUAAACUGCUAAGCUAGAGUACAGGAGAGGAAAGCGGAAUUCCUAGUGUAGCGGUGAAAUGCGUAGAUAUUAGGAAGAACACCAGUGGCGAAGGCGGCUUUCUGGACUGGAAACUGACGCUGAGGCACGAAAGCGUGGGGAGCGAACAGG
rnacentral:rRNA from 1 species